rnacentral:sRNA from 1 species
UAUGAGUCAAAAACUAGUUACUUACUAGUCAGUAACUUUUAGCUCGUUUCCUAUAACACUAUCUACAAUGGUUACUCAUUUAUAACAUCCACUUUUUCACUUUUAAUACUCUACAUCAUCUUCUUUCUUUUCCACAUUAUUAUUCAACACCUACACAAUUUUUAUCUUUACAAUGGUUUUGUUUAAUAAAAUUACAACACCUUACCCUACCAUUUUUAUUUCAUAUUUU